rnacentral:rRNA from 1 species
AGACAGCAGUCGCCGCGGGAAUACGGAGGGUGCAAGCGUUAAUCGGAAUUACUGGGCGUAAAGCGCACGCAGGCGGUCUGACAAGUCAGAUGUGAAAUCCCCGGGCUUAACCUGGGAACUGCAUUUGAAACUGUCAGGCUGGAGUCUUGUAGAGGGGGGUAGAAUUCCAGGUGUAGCGGUGAAAUGCGUAGAGAUCUGGAGGAAUACCGGUGGCGAAGGCGGCCCCCUGGACCAUAACUGACGCUGAUGCACGAAAGCUAGGGGAGCAAACAGGAUUAGAUACCCCGGUAGUCCCUGUCUCUUAUAC